rnacentral:rRNA from 1 species
UACGUAGGGUGCGAGCGUUAAUCGGAAUUACUGGGCGUAAAGCGUGCGCAGGCGGCUUUGCAAGACAGAUGUGAAAUCCCCGGGCUCAACCUGGGAACUGCAUUUGUGACUGCAUCGCUCGAGUGUGGCAGAGGGGGAUGGAAUUCCACGUGUAGCAGUGAAAUGCGUAGAUAUCAGGAGGAACACCGAUGGCGAAGGCAGGUCUCUGGGCUGACACUGACGCUCAUGCACGAAAGCGUGGGGAGCAAACAGG